GUUUUUAAGUUGAUUGACAGUUGGGUUUUACUGUUAUUUUAUUAUGAUAAAAAAAAUGCGAAUGGGUGGCAAUUGCAUGGGUGUUAAAAAUGCUAUUUAUGGUUGAAUAGAUUGUGUUCAAUUUAUCUUCAAAACAUUAUAUCGGAAGAACGAAAAAUAAGUUUAAUAACUGUUCCCGAUUCGUUUACGUUUUCUGAUUGGUUACCUGUAAUAUCAUGUGCCGGAAAUGUAAACAUUCGGAGGAGUUCCGAAUGAAAUGUAAAAUGUGUGGACCGGUAAUUAUGUGAAUGGGAAUAAUUAUAUUUUAUGUUGUUUUGUUAUGUUUACUGCAUUGAUAAACCAUGAGAACCAGAAGGUAUUUCCCCGCUAUUCAUAGGUCAAUAAUGGAAUCUCUACACCGUCGUUUAAUAGUUGGAAACUAGGUGAUGUUUUUUCAUGAAUAUACGUUUAAAAUAAGUAAACACUAAAAGUGCACACUGGCAGUUGAUUACGAUGCAUCUAACAAUUUGAGUCAUUACAGUAAAACAUGGAUUAUAAGUGAAUUAUACGCGUAAGAGAAGAUUUCCUGUCGAAAAAACGAAUGUCAACAAUCAGCAUGGAACUGGGAUAUUCGUAUCAAAGGGCUAUUCAUGCAGGAAAAUGACUGAAUAUUACUAUUAUAUGAAGAAUUCCAGCCUGCAUUAAAUACUUUGUUGGAUCAUUGAGGCAGAUUUGACAUCCAUGUCUAUCCACAAGCCAGUUACAUCUGAUAGAGAUGAUCACUCAACAUUCUAGAUGGGUAAAGAACCUGAAGGAGCAUGAAAACCAAAUCAGCAUUGAUUCAGCAUUGAGUAAUUAUCAUCUGUGCACACACUACAAGUACAAACGCAUGGGAACAAACCAAACUUCAAAUGUUGAAGAGUGAAGAAUUAUUGUGAAAAAUUCUAAAUGUAAGAAUACCAUUGACUAAAUAAAACAAAUAGACAACGAUUACCCACAGAGACUGUUUACAUGUUAUAAUAUUAAAAAGACAUUUAAGUUGAGAACUUUCACUCUGACAUUUUAGUUGAGAACUUUCACUGUGACAUAUUUGGAGGGGCAUUACCGCCUACUUAGUGUUCUUGUUUCUUUACAUAUUUUAAUUUAAAAGUACAUUCAUUGUUUUUAAAUCUGAA